rnacentral:rRNA from 1 species
UACAGGGGGUGCAAACGUUGCUCGGAAUUAUUGGGCGUAAAGCGCGCGUAGGCGGCCGCUUAAGUCGGAUGUGAAAGCCCCUGGCUCAACUGGGGAAGUGCACCCGAAACUGAGUGGCUUGAGUACUAAAGAGGGUCGCGGAAUUCCCGGUGUAGAGGUGAAAUUCGUAGAUAUCGGGAGGAACACCGGUGGCGAAGGCGGCGACCUGGGUAGAUACUGACGCUGAGGAGCGAAAGCAUGGGGAGCGAACAGG